GAUGAACGCUGGCGGCGUGCCUAAUACAUGCAAGUCGAGCGAAAAGAUGAGGAGCUUGCUCGUCGGACGUUAGCGGCGGACGGGUGAGUAACACGUGGAUAACCUACCUAUAAUACUGGGAUAACUUGGGGAAACCGGAGCUAAUACCGGAUAAUAUAUUGAACCGCAUGGGUGAAUAGUGAAAGACGGUGGUGCUGUCACGUAUAGAUGGAUCUGCGCCGCAUGAGCUAGUUGGUAAGGUAACGGCUUACCAAGGCAACGCUGCGUAGCCGAACUGUGAGGGUGAUAGGCCACCCUGGAGCUGGGACGCGGACCAGGGGCCUACGGGACGGAGCAGUAGGGAAUGGUCCGCAGUGGUCGAAAGCCUGACGGAGCAACGCCGCGUGAGUGAUAGAGGUCUUCGGAUCGUAAUGCUCUGUUACUAGGGAAGAACAAAUGUGUAAGUAACUAUGCACGUCUUGACGGUAACUAAUAAGAAAGCCCCGGCUAACUACGUG
rnacentral:rRNA from 1 species